ACAAACAGUCCAGUACAGAUGUUAUGAGUGAACACCGGUACGUUGGUCAGUCAGGUUCUGUAUUUUUGCUGCAGGAAUUCGACAGAUUUGACAGAUACUUUUAGGACCUCAGUUUAUUUAUGAUCUCAUGGACAUAAAUACAAUAUAAAGUGCUAGGUUAUAUAAAUGAACUGUGACCGCAGUCUACAAUUUAACACUAUUAACUCCAGAACCCUGUAAGUCAUCAUGAAACUUAGGGAAAUGCACUGGGACAUCUGCAUGAAACAGCUAUAACCUACGAUACUCGUACAACAGCAUGGACAGUCGUGUGCCGGUUGGUAGACAACAGUUGCAUCUUAAAUUCGUUGGAUUCUGACAUUUAAUGUCUAACAGUUCGUCAUGACGACAAUAUUUCAUACUGAAACGUAUUGUUUAGGCUAUAAAUGUACUUUGUUCAAUCAAAUGUCAGUUAAACGGCAUUUGAUUAAAUAUAAAAUACAUGAAUGAAUAAAAGGAGACUGUUAAUGAUAACAUCCUCCCUGUAAAGUCCUGGGGAAAGUGUUUGGGAAGAUCAUUCCUUACAUUGAGGACUGAAUGUGCCGGAUCUAAGGAACGCUGGAAUUUUAGGUUGCUAAGUCUAACAUUCCAGCGUUCCUUACUGUAGAUCCGUCACAACCGUGACCAGGAUAAAGCAGAAGGUUGAGAUGAAGGAAGCAGUGAGUUGUCAUUAGAGAUGACAAGUGCUUGUUCAUUCUUCACAGAAAAGUCGAUCUCCUAUAAAUAAAGGAGUUCACUUACAAUGUUUAUUUGAAUGCUUUUGCCAUCUUCUUAUCAAAAUUGUAUCCAUCUUUCUUUUUAUUUGCUUGUUCAUUAUACACUACAUAGCAGAGGGGAAACGUCUAGAUGCCCUGAGACGUGCGACCUCGGGGGUGUAAAGGAUAAACGGCUUCCCUGCAUUCAACCUACGCAGCUGUGUAUAUUUCAGGCUGUAAGGUUCAUCUACCUCAGGGACAAAACCCAUUAACACGGAUACGCUGAUCACCAGGAUGACAAAUGAAUGCGAGUACUCCAUGUUGGCGUGUGCUGUUCAGCUUCUAUCCGUCUUCACGGCCACCUGAUGAUUUACUGAUGGGACUCACCUGCUUGGUCUGUCUCAAUCGUCUCUCUCUCUCCCUACGUCGUGUUCAGACACUGAAUGAACCAAAAAUUAGCCCUUAGUACAGACUGACCUACUCGGAGUUCCUGGCCAAAGACGGUGCGCUCUCCCAGGGCCGAGCAAUUCCAGCGGCCGUAGCGGAACUGGUACUGACACUCGUUUAUGCCCAGCUGAGC